GAUGAACGCUGGCGGCGUGCUUAACACAUGCAAGUCGAACGAAGCACCUUGAUUUGAUUCUUCGGAUGCAGAUCUUGGUGACUGAGUGGCGGACGGGUGAGUAACGCGUGGGUAACCUGCCUCAUACAGGGGGAUAACAGUUAGAAAUGACUGCUAAUACCGCAUAAGACCACAGCACCGCAUGGUGCAGGGGUAAAAACUCCGGUGGUAUGAGAUGGACCCGCGUCUGAUUAGGUAGUUGGUGGGGUAACGGCCUACCAAGCCGACGAUCAGUAGCCGACCUGAGAGGGUGACCGGCCACAUUGGGACUGAGACACGGCCCAAACUCCUACGGGAGGCAGCAGUGGGGAAUAUUGCACAAUGGGGGAAACCCUGAUGCAGCGACGCCGCGUGAGCGAUGAAGUAUUUCGGUAUGUAAAGCUCUAUCAGCAGGGAAGAAAAUGACGGUACCUGACUAAGAAGCACCGGCUAAAUACGUG
rnacentral:rRNA from 1 species